GACGAACGCUGGCGGCGUGCCUAAUACAUGCAAGUUGAGCGCUGAAGGUUGGUACUUGUACCAACUGGAUGAGCAGCGAACGGGUGAGUAACGCGUGGGGAAUCUGCCUUUGAGCGGGGGACAACAUUUGGAAACGAAUGCUAAUACCGCAUAAAAACUUUAAACACAAGUUUUAAGUUUGAAAGAUGCAAUUGCAUCACUCAAAGAUGAUCCCGCGUUGUAUUAGCUAGUUGGUGAGGUAAAGGCUCACCAAGGCGAUGAUACAUAGCCGACCUGAGAGGGUGAUCGGCCACAUUGGGACUGAGACACGGCCCAAACUCCUACGGGAGGCAGCAGUAGGGAACCUUCGGCAAUGGACGAAAGUCUGACCGAGCAACGCCGCGUGAGUGAAGAAGGUUUUCGGAUCGUAAAACUCUGUUGGUAGAGAAGAACGUUGGUGAGAGUGGAAAGCUAAUCAAGUGACGGUAACUACCCAGAAAGGGACGGCUAACUACGUG
rnacentral:rRNA from 1 species